AUUAAGAAAACAGAAAACGUGUUCCACUUUCAUUUUCAAUAAUUGUAAACAAAGUUUUGAGCCGCUUAUAUCAACUGCCGCUUAUGUCUUUAACACAUUGCGCACAAGUGCUGCAAAAUCAGCCGAUAAUUGGAUUACUGCGCAUAAACCGCAUAUAGUUUUGUGGUUCCCGGAUUUCCAUUAUGUAAAAUAAAUGUUUUGCAUUGUGUUUCGAACACAGUGAGUAAUGGCGGAACUGUUGUCAUGGAAGUACGUCGCGAGGAUGUGGGGGCGAAACUGGGGAAGGGAGAGCCCAUGGAAGUUGCUGGCAGGGUUGCGAAUGCGAAUCUGAGGAUCCGAAAGAGGCUGGCUCAGAUGACAAGGAAGCUGACGUGGAUGAGGAUGAAAUUAAUAAGAGAGUUGUAUUGUUUUCUAAAGAUUGAAUAAAUGAAUGCUUCUUU